UCCUACGGGUGGCUGCAGUCGGGAAUUUUGGGCAAUGGGCGAAAGCCUGACCCAGCAACGCCGCGUGAAGGAUGAAGUUUUUCGGAAUGUAAACUUCGUAAGAAUAGGAAGAAUAAAUGACGGUACUAUUUGUAAGGUCCGGCUAACUACGUGCCAGCAGCCGCGGUAAUACGUAGGGACCAAGCGUUGUUCGGAUUUACUGGGCGUAAAGGGCGCGUAGGCGGCAAUUCAAGUCAGCUGUGAAAUCUCCGGGCUUAACUCGGAACGGGCAGCUGAUACUGUUUUGCUAGAGUGUAGAAGGGGCAAUCGGAAUUCUUGGUGUAGCGGUGAAAUGCGUAGAUAUCAAGAGGAACACCUGAGGUGAAGACGGGUUGCUGGGCUGACACUGACGCUGAGGCGCGAAAGCUAGGGUAGCAAACGGGAUUAGAUACCCGGGUAGUC
rnacentral:rRNA from 1 species